CAGCUGCAAGCUGUUGGCCAAACUGACCUCCUUGGAAUCACAGUGAGAGAGUCACCUUUGUAGACUUUUGAUAUUUAAUAUUAAUAUUUAGAGUUUUAAUAUAUAAAAAAUGAUCCACAGUGAGAAAUAAACUGGGGUCUUCAAUUUUGUGUUUGAGACAUGUACUACAAAGAAUAAAAACAAUAGAAGAUACACAGUUUCAAAGCUCAAGGAUCAAGGGAUGUGUCCAGCUUCUAGACAGAACAGAGGCACAGAACAUGCACAGAAACCAUGAAUUAUGCAUCGGCACGUUCGGAAUCUGCCAAGCAGUCUGUUGUGCUCAGAUGUAGAGGGUGUAGAGGAGGUUAAGAGCCUACUUUCAGCAGAAGAGGAAGAUUAUGGGAAUGAGAAGUGUCAGUGCUUGGCCUCAGCUCUUCAGCUUUGGAGGUGACACUACUGUGCGACUCUUGUUGUACAUCAUUCACCAAGUCAGUCAGCUGACAGUUAACCUGCGGGUUUUGACCUUUCACCUCUCUCGACUUCGCACCACCCGAGCGUCAACUCUGCCUCUCUCCUGCUCCCGCCUCCUCUCCACUCCCUGCAUUUGUUCUCCCACGCUUUACCAACUGCCGAUUUUCCUCUCUUUCUCACAGCCGAAAGAAGGCUCUUUUCAGCAUGGAAUAAGCCUGUACUUAUUGGAUUAUGGAUGUUGACACUUGACACCAUCAAAUCUGUAUUUUUCACUCCACUCUAAAUAAUCAGGCCAGUGGCAGCGCUGGCUCAGCUGCUUAAUUGAGAAGGAAAGGCUAGGGGGCAAACCAGGAGCUAUCACUUUGGGAUUGUACCAUAAGGGGCACCUCUGAAAUAUUCAUGGGUAACACGCACUGUUACAGUGUUGGAUAAUUGCUCCCGCUGCUCAUUCUUGAAAACCCAGUACCAGACGCUAGUGUUUCCACUCACCCAUAAAGCUAUGGGGGAAAAAUUCCCCCUCCCACCCACCCCAGAUGUUAACUUUUCCCUCCUCCAUCUGU